GUUUUUAAAGCAUUCAAUGCAUCAAGUUUCGGCCUUGAAGAUGGAUUUUCCCCUAAAAACU
rnacentral:tRNA from 1 species